ensembl:lncRNA
CUUCAGUCAGCCAUAUUGGCACUCUCCAGACGAAGCAGUCCUAUAUAGGAAUGAAUGGAAUUCUACAGUAUUUCAAUUAAAUAUUUCAUGACCAAAGGUAAUGAGGUUAAGAAUUAAUUAAAUUCAGGAGAGGACCAGAAUUGAAUGCAACCACUAACUAGUUAUCUUGAAUUUACAGUAGCUCCCUAGCAACUCAACAAGCACCAGCUGAUACCAACCUCCACACCUGUUUGCAAUGCUUUAACUAGUUGCCUUUAAGUGUACGUUCUCUAAUUCUCUCUUUCUCUUUCUCCCGGCCACAUGCAAGCCGCGUGGCCCGCUCCUUGGUGGACCUGUGAGGCCGUGCUGCCAAUCGUCGCUUCUGAGUCCUAUUCAACCAUCAGUACAAUAAUUCAUUUUCCGAGAGCCACCAUGACAUCCCCUGAUACAUCUGCUGCAUAUUCAUUCCAACACCACCAACUCAGCCUCAGCCUCAGAUAAGGCCUCAGACUUCAACCCAGGCCCCCAAACCAUUUUCGGAUGUGGCUUCUCUCCCAGCCUCCGAUUACGACUUGGCAUCCGACACAGCCUAAGUCCUUGCAGCUACAGUUCCCCCUGAUGGCCCAGCAGGCCAGCUUUCUCACUCCCCCGUUUCUAAUUCCUGACACAGCUACACGUUCCUCUCCCCUGUCUUUUUAUUUAUAUUUUUUAAUUUCCCCUUUAUUUAACCAAGUUCUCAUUUACAACUGCGACCUGAUGACCGACCUGCGACCUCUCACUGCCCCGGUCUCCAUGCCGGCAGUGAACUACCUGCAUCCAACAGCUGCUCUGGCCCCCCAGCUCCCUUUCCUCUUGCUACUAUUUUACUCUGGUCCCACUGGACCUGUGACUGUUGCUCAGGCAGUGGCUCACUUACCCUCUGCCAGCGAUGGACUAUCUCUCAGCAUACUGCUUCCUCUACUCCCCUCUCAUGCUCUGUCUCUGCUGGCCAUUGCCUGCUCUAGCCUCUUGACUACAUCUUCACAGCCUCUGGCUCCUUUUGGGUCUCACUGGCCCUGUGACCGUUGCUCCGGCAGUGGCUCACCCACUAUCUGCUAGUGUUGACCUCUCUUUCCCUCCUUGUCUCGCUGACUCCUGGCUACCUUGCCAAUCUUCACAGCCUCUGCCCCCUCCUCCCACUCUCACUGUCCCUCUGCACUGUCUCCCCUCUCUGCCAGGAAUGACCUCUCACUUCCCCACCUACUCAGUUAUGUGCUCACUGCCACCACAGCGGUCCGGUCCCUGGCCCUCCUAGUCGCGAACCUGUCCCAGUUCAGUGAAACAACCGUCUCGCUGUUCCAGUCUUCACUGCUGGCCACUCUGGCCUCCUGGCUACAUAGCCUGCACCAUCACAGCCUCUUGCAGCGCUCCCCUUCUCAGGUCCAGCUGGCGCCGUGUCCACGGCUACAGCAGCGGCUCAUCCCCUCUCUGCCAGUGACGACACUCUCUUCCCCCCCAGGGAUCACUAGCCCGGUGAGUGCUGCAGCGGCUCACCCCCUCUUUCUGCCAGUGAGGUCCUCUUCCCACCUUGGGCUGGCCUGUGACAGCUGCUCCCAUGUUGACACAAUCUCCCUCUCCACCAAUGACUACCUCAAACUUCGCCACUUGUCCUGUGACCACCACCCCUGCAGUGCCUCAACUUCUCAGCCAGCGAUAUGUGCCUGCUCCCCCCCUCCUGUGGCUUGGCCCCUGCUUCCCCCCCCUCCUGUGGCUUGGCCCCUGCUCCCCCUCCUGUGGCUUGGCCCCUGCUCCCCCCUCCUGUGGCUUGGCCCCUGCUCCCCCCCCCUUCUGUGGCUUUCUUUCUGUUCAGUGAGCUGAUUGCUUUGAUGUUUUCACUGCUGGCCCCAGCCCUGCCCUCUGGCUCACCAUUCCCUCUACUUGGGACUCCAAGCCAAACUCUACAUUCCACCCUCUGGAUCUUUCAUCUGCUGCCCUUGGAUUCAUUUAUCUGGUCCAUGCUCAUUCCUGACAUCAUUCCAUUUCCUUAUACAUAUUCUAAACCCAUUUCAGUGUCUGGUUCUUAAACUCAUCAACAUGUAUUUGUCAUUGUAGUGGGUACCGUAACAUUACUAUUCUAAAGAAAUGCAUGUUUUAUUUGUAUGUUUAGCUCACAUAAUUUUAAUUUAAAGUAGGCAUUAAGGUGUACCAAAACAUUUCUGAAGGUCCCCAAGAAUACAGUGCCCUCCAUUCUUAAAUUUGGAGUUUGGAACCACCAAGACACUUCCUAGAGCUGGCCGCUAGGGGCCAAAUUGAGCAAUCAGGGGAGAAGGGUGUUGGUCAGGGAGGUGACCAAGAACCCGAUGGCCACUCUGACAGAGCUUGAGUUCCUCGUGGAGAUGGGAGAGCCUUCCAGAAGGACAACCAUCUCUGCCACACUCCACCAAAUCAGGCCUUCAUGGUAGAGUGGCCAGACGGAAGCCACUACUCAGUAAAAGGCACAUGACCGCCUGCUUGGAGUUUGCAAAAAUUCAUCUAAAGGACUCUGACAAUGAGAAACAAGAUUCUCUGGUCUGAUGAAACCAAGAUUGAACUCUUUGGACUGAAUGCCAAGCAUUACGUUGGGAGGAAACCUGGCACCAUGCCUACAGUGAAGCAUGGUGGUGGCAGCAUCAUGCUAUGGGGAUGUUUUUCAGUGCCAGUUACUGGGAGACUAGUCAGGAUUGAGGGGAAAGAUGAAUGGAGCAAAGUAUAGAGAUCCUUGAUGAAAACCAGCUCUAGAGCACACAGGACCUCAGACUGGGGCGAAGGUUCACCUUCCAACAGGACAAUGACCCUAAGCACACAUCCAAGACAAUGCAGAAGUAGUUUCGACACUAGUCUCAAUGUCCUUGAGUGGCCCAGCCAGAGCCUGGGCUUGAACCCGAUCAAACAUCUCUAGAGAGACUUGAAAAUAGCUGUGCUGCGACGCUCCCCAUCUAACCUGACCGAGCUUGAGAGGAUCUGCAGAAAAUAAUUUGAGGAACUCUCCAAAUACAGGUUUCCCAACCUUGUAGCGUCAUACCCAAUAAGACUCGAGCCUGUAAUCGCUGCCAAAGGUGUUUCAACAAAGUACUGAGUAAAGGGUCUAAAUUAGGGUUGGAAACUUUCUGGUAAAUUAUUGGAAUUUCCCAUGGGAAAUUAAGCCCUGGAAUUUUGGGAAUUCUGCUUAAAUUAAUCAAAAGUUAGCUUUUGACAGUGAACCUUUUUUUGUGGGAUACACAAGGCAAUUCUAGGUCUUAUGGCAUAUUUUGGUUAAACUAUCCCCAAUUCAAUGGAAUUGCAACCCUCUGCAUGCACAUGUGCAGUGCGUUCUUCUAUCACGUGUACAGAUGAUUCUCAAGAUCUUGCACACUAAUGAGAUGCUAUUGAGCCCACACUACUACACUGAGCCAAGGACUACAUUCUUUCUGGAAAAUGCCAUGGGCACUAUCUGAUGUGUGGAGACAUUUCACGCAAGCUAAUGUAGAAGGAUGUAUAUGUGUACAUUUGCAAAUACUGUGCCAAAUCAUAUGUGAAGAAUGCAACAAAGAUGCAGAAUCAUCUGGCCAAGUGCAUAAAGUUCCCUCAGUGCUCACAACAAGCAACCUCUGACAAAAGUCCCUCUACUUCUAUUCAAGGUGAAAAUGAUGAAUCAGACACCUUAUCGAUAGCAACAGCUCAUGGUCCUGCUGGAAUCAGAAGUUUUGACUCGAUGGAGGAGCGUAGUCAGAGAAAUGCUGAUGAAUGUCUUGCUCUGUAUGCAACUGGUUCACCUCUGAUGCUCACAGGCAAUGUGUAUUGGAAGAGAUUUCUGAAUGUUCUUUGCCCAGCAUACACCCCUCCAACCAGCCAUGAUUUAUAUACUCAUUUGCUGGAUGCAGAGUUCAAUAGGGUUAAAGUGAAGGUCAAGCAAAUCAUAGAGAAAGCAGACUGUAUUGCAAUCAUAUCAGAUGGGUGGUUGAAUGUUCUUGGGCAAGGAAUAAUUAACUACAUCUCCACCCCUCAACCAGUAUUCCACAAGAGCACAGACACAAGGGACAACACACACCGGUCUCUACAUUGCAGAUGAGCUGAAGGCAGUCAUCGAUGACCUUGAACCACAGAAGGUAUUUGCACUGGUGACAGACAGCUGCUAACAUGAAGGCUGCUUGGUCUAAGGUGGAGGAGUCCUACCCUCAAUCACACACAUUGGCUGUGCUACUCAUGCAUUGAAUCUACUCAAGGACAUCAUGGCACUGAAAACAAUGGAUACUCUACAAGAGCGCAAAGGAAAUGGUUAGGUAUGUGAAGGGACAUCAAGUUAUAGCAGCAAUCUACCUAAACAAGUAAAGUGAGAAUAAGAGCACCACAUUGAAGCUGCCCAGCAACACCCGUUGGGUUGGUGUUGUCAUGGUUGACAGUCUCCUGGAGAAGGAGUCUCUACAAGAAAUGGCCAUAUCACAGUCUGCCGAUAUGGACAGCCCCAUCGAGGGUCCUCCUGCAUGAUGUAUUUUGGGAGAGAGUGGUAAGCAGCCUGAAACUCCUGAAACCUAUAGCAGUAGCCAUUGCACGGAUUGAGGGAGACAAAUCCAUCCUAUCUGAUGUUCAGACUCUGCUUGCAGAUGUGAGAAGAAAUCCGUACUGCCCUGCCCACUUUACUGUUGCUCCAAGCAGAGGAAACUGCAGUUCUGAAAUGCAUCAAAAAGCGUGAAGACUUCUGCCUGAAGCCCAAACACGCAGCAGCAUACAUGUUGGACCCCAAGUAUGGACCCCAAGUAUGGACCCCAAGUAUGGACCCCCUGAAUCAAAGAAAAUACUUUUCAGAUUCACACCCUGUUUGUAUAUCCGCCUCUCCCUUGUCAUCCUCAGCUUUGGUCAGGAUUAUGAGAACUGUGAUGGUUCCUGUCUGGACUGUAGGGGGCCUGAUCCAUACAACUGCACUAUUUGUCCUGCCCAUGCCAUCCUCACAGCCGGGGGGCUCUGUCUGAGCGAGUAGAGGGACUCCACAGCAUCGGGAGUGCUGCAACUACAGAGACGAGGUGGGCUCUGUUCCAACAUCCCGACUAGGCAUACCCCUUAGAGCAGACCAGGGUUUAAACACUAUUUCAAAUGGCUUGAUUGAGCAUGCCUGGUGCAAUAGAAGCAGUAGAAAAACAAAUUGAAAUCUAUUUGUCACAAUGCUUUGUUAACAGGUUUAGACUAACAGGGAAAUGCUUCCUUACGGGCCCUUCCUAACAAUGCAGAGGCCCAGUCGGUGUAAUUCACAGAUGGCUGGAUGGGCCGGGUUAGAUAUGUUAAAUACAUGGAUCAGGAUGGAACGAUCUACAUGAAGUUCAGGUACGGGCAGCCAGGGGAUAAUGACGAGAGCUAUACAUUUUGCUGAAGGGUGAUGUAUCUUUAGCAGGAUUUUUCUCUUUCUGCCUCAUCGCUCACGCUCUCUCGUUGAAUCGCUCUUUCUCUCAGAGCUUGCAGCCAUCUUAUUUGUCCUUGUUUGACAUAAAACACAAAGAUAUUUCAUGUUGAGGUGUUUUAAUAAAUGCUGUUCAUACACAAA